rnacentral:lncRNA from 10 species
CUGAGGGUUGUUCGGGUACAUUCUUCACAUGUGUCAUGGUUUGAUAGAGGACUCAUCAAAAAGAUCACCACUGGGAAUCUAGAUCUUUGUUGGAGAGGGAAGAGAAAGAGAAGCUUAAUGAGCACAUUGAAGCACUUACCAGAAAGAAGAGGGAAGACUUCUGGAUGAAACCUCUGUGAGUACCUUAACAUCCACGUGGAAGAAGUAAAAAAAAAAUAAGAUUCUGGGUGGAGUUCUCCUCCAAUGACAGGAAAAAACAAAGAUAAUUUGAAGAAUAUGUCAGAGACAAAUAUAUUACAACCAAAGUUGACUUCAGGGCACUUUUGAAGGAGACCAAAUAUAUAACAAACAGAGCUAAGAAGCUAAUCUAAGAAUCUGACCAACACCUGAAAGAUGUAGACAACAUUUUGCAGAAUGAUAAAUAGUAUCCAGUACUGAACUGUGCCUGAGGAAAGGCAUAAACUGAAUGUGGAUGUUGAUGACCUGGACUGUCAGGGUCCACCUCUACCUCCCAGAGCCUCGGAGCCCACAAGACAAAAU